CCCAAUGCUAUUAAAAAUCGAAUAAGCAGGUAAUAAUAUUUGAAUACAUUUUUGUUAUAAGAAGUAUAUCUACAUUGAUAUAUGUGUCGGUCGCCAUUCGCUUUUACCUAUCAUUUUCCAUGGCGACCCGUCACACAUGAGAUAUUUAUCCGUGCGCCUCUUCUUAAAUUUAUCUUGCGGAUGUCAAGGCCUUAAAUAGAAGUAUGAAAAUUAGUGUUUUAGGGUUGUUGGAGCAGUAUAAAUAACGGGUUAUUCGCGUAAGAGGGAACAAUAAUUUCGAAAACUAAGUGACCAUGCAUUCUUAAGGCUAGAUUAAGCUACGAUGGCGAAGCGAGGAGCUUCACCCAAACUUAAGUAACACUAGACUACAAAUUUAUUCAAAUUAUACUUUUGAAAGCGCAGAUAUGCGUCAUCUUCGGCCACCGUGAGUGGCUUGUUGUCUUCAUUAAACUGGAAAGCGCAGCAUUGGUAACUUGUGGACAGGGCUAUAAUAUUGCUUUCCACUGGCCGUUCUAAUUUCAGCGACUCGAAAGACGCCGUCGUCUCUUGCGUGCACUGCCGGCACUCUGCCGAUCAGCCACUGCUAGGGCAGCAGCUCGUCCUCAACGACGACCACCAGCUCGUCCACGAUGGCGUUUGGCAGGCGAUGGUGCUAUUUGGUCCGAGCUUGGAGUCCGAGCACAUACUCAUUUAACCAUUGCCAGCAGAACUAUCGUUCGAGCGACAUGACAGCGUGCCAUCGAUUUAGACAGGUUAGACCCUGAUGUUCCGAAGUCUCUUCUGUCGGCAGAGCCCUUAAUGGGCAUCCCAGGUGGCCUGGCGUGUGAGUCUCGCCGUCGCUGGGUUCAUCGCUGAGAGCUCAUAUGGCCUGGAACUUAGCUCGGCUGCCACCGCGACUAGAGUCGUCUGGAAGCUCUAGCCUGUCGCAUACGCUUUUUACUGUGGCUUCACGAAUUAUGUCGGCGUCUUCCUCGAUUGGAGCUCGCAACUCCUGAAACUUUCGACUAAAAUCAUCGCGCUAUCGCAAUUGAUGGUCAACGUGACUUCUCGACGGUCGACGAUUAUAAAAGUAUUUGUUGAUAAGCUUUCGACGCAUUCAAAAGGUCGUGCUAAUUGAGUGAGCAACACAAAUCGACGCCAUGGAUAGCGAAUGGGCAGAACGCUCGGAGUCGAUCUGCUGGUAAAUUUUUAAUAACUUGUGUUAGCAGACGAGGCUUGCAUUCAAAACAACGAAUACAUAAACUUACUUUCUCACAGUCGCUCACGAAGAAGACUCACGAGUACUCUUAGGUUAGCUUUGCUUAUUGUUACCAAAAUUAUUUGUCAUAUCUUUUUUUAAAAUAAAAGAGAACUCGAGAAAUAAAUCGACAAGAAAAACUACGCGCAAAAAUAAAGCCACAAUACAACGUU